AUUUUAAAAUUAUUCUAAUUGUCUGUUUUUUUUCUGUUGUUGCCAGUUUGGAUAAAACAUGAGCGGAAGAUGCACCACAAAUCUUCCAGAGACUUUGUUUUUUUUGUCUGAUCAUAACAACCACCAGUAUCUUAAACAUGGCUGAUCAAUUUAAACACCAACUACAGGGACAAUUCCCUAAUAUUAUCAAGUGUCUUUCAGAUUUAGUUUGUGAACAACAAACUAUUAUCCAUUGUGGUCUUCUGAGAUUCCCAACGUCCUAAAGAAACAAUAUGUUGCAGGAUCAUAUCAGUUUGUCAAACAGACGGACAAACGACAAACGGCUUCAUCACAAAGGUCAAAAUAGGCAUAGCACAUGAACACUUACGUGUAAAAAACAUAACAGAGGCUAUGAAGCCUGAGCCUACCUGUCAACAGAAACCGAAGAUUAAAUGCAGUCAGAAGAAGGGAAUACAUGCUUUAUAUCAUUUAUAGUAUAGUAUCACCUAAUGGAACCUUUUGGAAAGAAACCCUGCAAAGAUUGUUCAAAACACCCUACAGGAUGCAAACAGGAGACCACAUCAUUGCCUAAGCUCUACAUGAAAGAUUACUACAGAGUGCAACUACACAGCUUUGUGUUGACAAUAUCCUACUCAAGACCUGGGAACAGCGCAGUACAAAGAAACAGAUCAUAUAAGCUAUUAUACAUUUGUUGCAUGAUGGCCAAAAUGAUACACUAUGUAACUUUGCUAAUUGUAUAUUCUCAACCACUGCUGCCAUGAAAGAACAUGUUCCACUCACCACUUCUUGAAUUGACUUGUUUAUCACAUCAACAAUGUAUACAUCAAGACUACAGUAAGAUUAUGUGAUUACUAUUUUUCAAGAUUGUCAGUCUAACAUUUGUCGUUUUGUGUUUGUUAUAUAAAUACAUUUUGGCCUCACAAAAGUUAUCUGAUGGAUUUUUGAAAUUGUUUGUCAGUUACAGCAAAUCUAAUUUGGAAUCACCUUGGUGUAUCGAACAAUAUAUUUGACCAAAGCCAAGAAGCGAAUAAAGUUACUGCAUGUUAUAAGUACAGGCCAAGUGUAACUCCCACACCACAAAGGACCCAUAUUCGACCGUAGGUGGUGCUACAGGUCACAGCCACUU